rnacentral:rRNA from 1 species
ACUCAAAGGAAUAGACGGGGGCCCGCACAAGCGGUGGAGCAUGUGGUUUAAUUCGAUGCAACGCGAAGAACCUUACCUACUUUUGACAUCCCUGGGAUCUGACUGAGAAGUUGGAGUGCCGCAAGGAACCAGGAGACAGGUGCUGCAUGGCUGUCGUCAGCUCGUGUUGUGAGAUGUUGGGUUAAGUCCCGUAACGAGCGCAACCCUUGUCCUUAGUUACCAGCACGUGAUGGUGGGGACUCUAAGGAGACUGCUGGUGAAGAACCGGAGGAAGGCGGGGACGACGUCAAGUCAUCAUGGCCUUUAUGAGUAGGGCUACACACGUGCUACAAUGGGGUGAACAGAGGGAAGCCAACCUGCGAAGGGGAGCCAAUCCCAGAAAACACCUCGUAGUCCAGAUUGAAGUCUGCAACUCGACUUCAUGAAGUCGGAAUCGCUAGUAAUCGCGAAUCAGCAUUGUCGCGGUGAAUACGUUCCCGGGCCUUGUACACACCGCCCGU